CCAGACCAGUGGGAUGCAGAAAUCCAUCCCCUCAGAGCCGCACUGGAGGAUCGAGACCGUCGGAUCCGCAAACUGACCUCGGACCUGGGUGAAUCCAACUCCAAACUCAAGGAACGCGACCGGAAAUGCACCAAACUCGCCGCUGAGAUCCGGAGGCUCACGGCGCUGCUGGG